rnacentral:rRNA from 1 species
AGUGAACGCUGGCGGCAGGCCUAACACAUGCAAGUCGAGCGGCAGCGCGGGGGCAACCCUGGCGGCGAGCGGCGGACGGGUGAGGAAUUCGUCGGAAUCUGCCUUUUUGUGGGGGAUAACGUAGGGAAACUUACGCUAAUACCGCAUACGUCCUACGGGAGAAAGUGGGGGACCGCAAGGCCUCACGCAGAAAGAUGAGCCGACGACCGAUUAGCUAGUUGGUGGGGUAAAGGCCCACCAAGGCGACGAUCGGUAGCUGGUCUGAGAGGAUGAUCAGCCACCCUGGAAUGAGGACACGGCCCAAAUCCCAAGGGAAGCAGGAGGUGGGAAUAAUUGAAAAUGGGGGGAAGCCCUAUCCAGGCCAGGCGCGUGUUGGAAGAAGGCCCUCGGGUUGGAAAGCACUUUUGUCCGGAAAGAAAUCCCUGGAGCUAAUACCUUCGGGGGAUGACGGUACCGGAAGAAUAAGCACCGGCUAACUUCGUG